UAUUCUGCCCUACAGGGAAGGAUGAGAAGCUUCGACUAAGGUUCGACUCGAGCGAAGCGAGAGAACGUUGCCGCAGGCAACGGCCCGAAGGGCGAGGCGCUUUAGCGCCGAGUAAUCCUUCCCCCACCAUCA
rnacentral:sRNA from 2 species